AGGCAGCCCCCUUUUCUCUACUUGGUGGAAAGGGAGGUGUUAAUCUGCUCGUAAAUUAAAUUCGCUUGUGUUCUUCAGAUUUGCUGAGAUAUAUUAAUAUCUUUGAAGCUGGUCUAGUAAGCCUAAGCACAAU